UACGUAGGGGGCACGCGUUGUCCGGAUUCACUGGGUGUAAAGGGCGCGCAGGCGGGUUAGCAAGUCAGAGGUGAAAUCCUACAGCUUAACUGUAGAACUGCCUUUGAAACUGUUAAUCUUGAGUGCGGAAGAGAGAGACGGAAUUCCAGGUGUAGCGGUGAAAUGCGUAGAUAUCUGGAAGAACACCAGUUGCGAAGGCGGUCUCUUGGUCCGUUACUGACGCUCAGGCGCGAAAGAGUGGGGAGCAAACAGG
rnacentral:rRNA from 1 species